ACGCUCGACACCUACGGGGCAGCAGUGGGGAAUAUUGCACAAUGGGGGAAACCCUGAUGCAGCGACGCCGCGUGAGUGAAGAAGUAUUUCGGUAUGUAAAGCUCUAUCAGCAGGGAAGAAGAUGACGGUACCUGAGUAAGAAGCCCCGGCUAACUACGUGCCAGCAGCCGCGGUAAUCUGAGCGGGCUGGCAAGGC
rnacentral:rRNA from 1 species